rnacentral:rRNA from 1 species
UACGAAGGGGGCUAGCGUUGCUCGGAAUCACUGGGCGUAAAGCGCACGUAGGCGGACUCUUAAGUCGGUGGUGAAAUCCUGGAGCUCAACUCCAGAACUGCCUCCGAUACUGGGAGUCUCGAGUUCGGGAGAGGUGAGUGGAACUGCGAGUGUAGAGGUGAAAUUCGUAGAUAUUCGCAAGAACACCAGUGGCGAAGGCGGCUCACUGGCCCGAUACUGACGCUGAGGUGCGAAAGCGUGGGGAGCAAACAGG